rnacentral:rRNA from 1 species
UUGAACGCUGGCGGCAGGCCUAACACAUGCAAGUCGAGCGGUAACACAGAGAGCUUGCUCUCGGGUGACGAGCGGCGGACGGGUGAGUAAUGUCUGGGAAACUGCCUGAUGGAGGGGGAUAACUACUGGAAACGGUAGCUAAUACCGCAUAACGUCGCAAGACCAAAGUGGGGGACCUUCGGGCCUCAUGCCAUCAGAUGUGCCCAGAUGGGAUUAGCUAGUAGGUGGGGUAACGGCUCACCUAGGCGACGAUCCCUAGCUGGUCUGAGAGGAUGACCAGCCACACUGGAACUGAGACACGGUCCAGACUCCUACGGGAGGCAGCAGUGGGGAAUAUUGCACAAUGGGCGCAAGCCUGAUGCAGCCAUGCCGCGUGUGUGAAGAAGGCCUUCGGGUUGUAAAGCACUUUCAGCGGGGAGGAAGGCGGUGAGGUUAAUAACCUCAUCGAUUGACGUUACCCGCAGAAGAAGCACCGGCUAACUCCGUGCCAGCAGCCGCGGUAAUACGGAGGGUGCAAGCGUCAAUCGGAAUUACUGGGCGUAAAGCGCACGCAGGCGGUCUGUCAAGUCGGAUGUGAAAUCCCCGGGCUCAACCUGGGAACUGCAUUCGAAACUGGCAGGCUAGAGUCUUGUAGAGGGGGGUAGAAUUCCAGGUGUAGCGGUGAAAUGCGUAGAGAUCUGGAGGAAUACCGGUGGCGAAGGCGGCCCCCUGGACAAAGACUGACGCUCAGGUGCGAAAGCGUGGGGAGCAAACAGGAUUAGAUACCCUGGUAGUCCACGCCGUAAACGAUGUCGAUUUGGAGGUUGUGCCCUUGAGGCGUGGCUUCCGGAGCUAACGCGUUAAAUCGACCGCCUGGGGAGUACGGCCGCAAGGUUAAAACUCAAAUGAAUUGACGGGGGCCCGCACAAGCGGUGGAGCAUGUGGUUUAAUUCGAUGCAACGCGAAGAACCUUACCUGGUCUUGACAUCCACAGAACUUUCCAGAGAUGGAUUGGUGCCUUCGGGAACUGUGAGACAGGUGCUGCAUGGCUGUCGUCAGCUCGUGUUGUGAAAUGUUGGGUUAAGUCCCGCAACGAGCGCAACCCUUAUCCUUUGUUGCCAGCGGUUCGGCCGGGAACUCAAAGGAGACUGCCAGUGAUAAACUGGAGGAAGGUGGGGAUGACGUCAAGUCAUCAUGGCCCUUACGACCAGGGCUACACACGUGCUACAAUGGCAUAUACAAAGAGAAGCGACCUCGCGAGAGCAAGCGGACCUCAUAAAGUAUGUCGUAGUCCGGAUUGGAGUCUGCAACUCGACUCCAUGAAGUCGGAAUCGCUAGUAAUCGUAGAUCAGAAUGCUACGGUGAAUACGUUCCCGGGCCUUGUACACACCGCCCGUCACACCAUGGGAGUGGGUUGCAAAAGAAGUAGGUAGCUUAACCUUCGGGAGGGCGCUUACCACUUUGUGAUUCAUGACUGGGGUG